rnacentral:rRNA from 1 species
UACGAAGGGGGCUAGCGUUGUUCGGAUUCAUUGGGCGUAAAGGGUGCGUAGGCGGCGCGGUAAGUCGGGUGUGAAAUCUCGGGGCUUAACUCCGAAACUGCAUUCGAUACUGCCGUGCUUGAGGACUGGAGAGGAGACUGGAAUUUACGGUGUAGCGGUGAAAUGCGUAGAUAUCAAGAGGAACACCUGAGGUGAAGACGGGUUGCUGGGCUGACACUGACGCUGAGUGCGCGAAAGCUAGGGUAGCAAACGGG